UGGCAAGCGUUGUUCGGAAUUACUGGGCGUAAAGGGCUCGUAGGUGGCCAACUAAGUCAGACGUGAAAUCCCUCGGCUUAACCGGGGAACUGCGUCUGAUACUGGAUGGCUUGAGUGUGGGAGAGGGAUGCGGAAUUCCAGGUGUAGCGGUGAAAUGCGUAGAUAUCUGGAGGACCACCGGUGGCGAAGGCGGCAUCCUGGACCACGACUGACGCUGAGUGAGCGAAAGCCAGGGGAGCAAACGGG
rnacentral:rRNA from 1 species